rnacentral:rRNA from 1 species
AACGUAGGAGACAAACGUUAUCCGGAGUUACUGGGCGUAAAGGGCGUGCAGGUGGUCUGUUAAGUCUGGCGUGAAAGCUCCUGGCUAAACCGGGAGAGGUCGUUGGAUACUGGCGGACUAGAGGACGGUAGAGGCGUGUGGAAUUCCGGGUGUAGUGGUGAAAUGCGUAGAUAUCGGGAGGAACACCAGUGGCGAAGGCGACUUCCUGGCCUGUUCUUGACGCUGAGGCGCGAAAGCUAGGGGAGCAAACGGG